UUAGAAUUUAAUUCUGGUUUAAUAAAAUUGGUUUUGUUAUGGAAAGACACAUGGUAAAAAAGUUUGUUUAGUGAGUGUAAUCUUUGAAGUUUUGGGUUUUAAUAAUUUUGAAAUUGUAAAAGUUUAAUAUUAAAGUUUUUAUCACAUAUAAAGAGAUUCACAUUUUCAGUGCGGAAGAUUAAAUAAAUUUUGAGAGAAAGUUUUAGUCUAUAAUGAUAAUUUAACCGGAUAAGUAGGUGCCAGCAUCAGCGGUUAUACCUACGGUUAGAAUCAAUUUUUACGGAAGUUGAAAUUAGGUUAUUCUAUAUAGAAAGAUAAUUUGAGAUUUAAUAAGGUGGUUUAAUAUAAUUAUAUUUUAAAAUCAUAAUGUCUUGGUAGAUGAGCUUGGAAAUCUUUUUUGAGAGACUGGGAUUAGAUACCCCAUUAUUAAAGAUGUAAAAUUUUAACCGGGGGAUUAAUUGCCUAUUAAAUGAUUUUUUUAUUAUUUUUCGGGUUAAAAAUUCAAAGAAUUUGGCGGCGCUUUAAAUCAUGUUAGGGGAGUCUGUAUAUUAAUUUGAUGGUCCGCGGAGACAUCACCUCCUUAGAAUAGAUAAUUGGCUUGCAUACCGUCGUUGACAGCAUAUGUUUUUAAUAAAAGAAAAUGUCUUGGUUAUUUGUUUUGUAAAAUAAGAACUUCAGGUAAACGUGCAGUUGAUAAGGAGGGUUUAUAUGGGCUACAGUAUAAAUUAAUUCUAAUAAAAAGUUGAAAUUCUUUUUUGAGGGUGGACUUAACAGUAAGAAUAUCAUAAAUGCUGAAAUAGUAAUAAGGUGCGUACAAACCGCCCGUCGCUCCCAUAAAUAUUUGAAAUUGGGAUAAGUCGUAACAAGGUAAGGGUACCUGAAGGUGUUCUUAGAAUAAU
rnacentral:ncRNA from 1 species